AGCUCGGUCUGAGGCCCCU
rnacentral:piRNA from 1 species